CUACUUUCCUGGCAGGGGCGAUCCUGUGAUCAUGAAAGUGGUUCACCCAGGGCGAGGCUCUGCCGUACUUCCAUUGCUGACCCUUGCAAAUUCCUUGAAUGCGGAAAUCUCGACUGCAUAAUUUCUGGUAGAGGUGAACUGCGCUCGCACUCUCCCCUG
ensembl:snRNA U1 U1 spliceosomal RNA